CUUCAGUGAUGAUCCGAUGACGAGUCAGAAUGGGACAGUAUCUGUUUAGAGAAUGCUGGGCCAGGGGGCACGUUCUGUGCUUCUGGCUUCUCUUUCUCAGAGCAGUGUGCUCCUUUCACUUGAAGACAUCGAGGCAUUUGUCUGAGAAGG